rnacentral:piRNA from 1 species
UAGUGACUAGCACGAAGUCUGGAAACUCU